rnacentral:sRNA from 1 species
CACUUGACAUUUGAUUUUUGAUUUUUUUUUGGCUUUGU